GGAAUAUAAAAAUCCGUCUCUUAACUUUUAACUAAAAAGUUAAGAACCGGCUCUUAAAUAAGAGAUUUAAAAGCCGGUUCUUAGUUUUUUUAGUUAAAAGUUAAAAUAUAGAUUCUUAUAUUCC
rfam:Brassica oleracea var. oleracea cultivar TO1000 chromosome C5, whole genome shotgun sequence